GAUGAACGCUGGCGGCGUGCCUAAUACAUGCAAGUCGAGCGAACGGACGAGAAGCUUGCUUCUCUGAUGUUAGCGGCGGACGGGUGAGUAACACGUGGAUAACCUACCUAUAAGACUGGGAUAACUUCGGGAAACCGGAGCUAAUACCGGAUAAUAUUAUGAACCGCAUGGUUCAAAAGUGAAAGACGGUCUUGCUGUCACUUAUAGAUGGAUCCGCGCUGCAUUAGCUAGUUGGUAAGGUAACGGCUUACCAAGGCAACGAUGCAUAGCCGACCUGAGAGGGUGAUCGGCCACACUGGAACUGAGACACGGUCCAGACUCCUACGGGAGGCAGCAGUAGGGAAUAUUCCGCAAUGGGCGAAAGCCUGACGGAGCAACGCCGCGUGAGUGAUGAAGGUCUUCGGAUCGUAAAACUCUGUUAUUAGGGAAGAACAUAUGUGUAAGUAACUGUGCACAUCUUGACGGUACCUAAUCAGAAAGCCACGGCUAACUACGUG
rnacentral:rRNA from 1 species